GCAAGUCGAACGAUAUAGUGGCAGACGGGUGAGUAACGCGUGGAAACGUGCCUUUCACUACGGAAUAGUAUUUGGAAACGAAUAGUAAUACCGUAUACGCCCUCCGGGGGAAAGAUUUAUCGGUGAAAGAUCGGUCCGCGUUAGAUUAGCUAGUUGGUAGGGUAAUGGCCUACCAAGGCGACGAUCUAUAGCUGGUUUGAGAGGAUGAUC
rnacentral:rRNA from 1 species